rnacentral:tRNA from 1 species
GCGAUCGUGGUGUAACGGCAGCAUCAGAGUCUUCCAAACUCACGGUACGAGUUUGAGUCUCGUCGAUCGCU